UUCAAUUUUGCUUUGUAAAAAGAUAUUUACUUAGUUUAAUAUUGUUUAUCUAGCAUAUUUCUUUGAAAGGAAAUGUAUUUAUACCACAAGAUGUCAGGACAGGUAUUAGUUUCUGAAAUUGGAAUGGAAUUGAAAUAUGUCAUCUGUAGUCAGCAGCUACAAAAUCACUUCACAUGAGAGGGAAAAUUUUAUACAGUUUUACGCAUCAUCUGUUGUUUGCAGUAGUUAUAGCUGGCAGUUGCACAAUGCUGUUUUGACAGCUCAAUGCCAGGCCCAAUUUGUUGUGUACUGACAGCAGCAGAGUUGAGUUUAGAGAAACGCUUCUUUGACAUGGACUAGUAGGUAAGAUGAAAGUGUUGCCGUAAAAGUCAUAUGCCCUCGUUCUGUGGAACUGUCAGGUGCGACUGGACAAGUGUAAGUUUUCUUGGAUGGAAAACCCCAGUGGGGCAGAAGAAGAUUCACUCUCUAACCACAGCUGCACUCCAGGAGUUCCUAGAAAAAAUUGUUUGUCAAGUGAACCAAGUAGGUAGGGGUACCAGGGAUGUGGGCUCUUCACCCAGCACCCAGAUUCAGUUCUUCAUCUCCAUCUACAGCUGUUUCUCCCAAGGCCUUUAAGCCCUUGGACAUUCACACAAUGGAUUGAUUUCCCUCACAGAGGACCGAUUUUAAUGUCUUGCAGCAGAUGUAAUACCUCCUGCUCCUAGGGAGAAACUGUUGGUGUGGGCUUGCUGUGCUCCUAAGCCUAUACUGGAAACAGGGUGU